rnacentral:rRNA from 1 species
CCUACGGGGGGCUGCAGUAAGGAAUAUUGGUCAAUGGAGGAAACUCUGAACCAGCCAUCCCGCGUGAAGGAUGAAGGGGCUCUGCCUUGUAAACUUCUUUUGUCUGGGGCGAAAAAGCUCGAUUUAUCGAGAACUGACGGUACCAGAAGAAUAAGCACCGGCUACAUCCGUGCCAGCAGCCGCGGUCAUACGGAGGGGGCAGGCGUUAUCCGGAAUCACUGGGUCGAAAGGGGCUGUAGGCGUCAGAGUAGAAAGGCUGUGGCUUAACCAUGGAAUUGCCAUUGAUACUGCAGAGCUUGAAUGAGGUUGAGGUUGGCGGAAUGUGACAUGUAGCGGUGAAAUGCUUAGAUAUGUCAUGGAACACCGAUUGCGAAGGCAGCUGACUGGACCUAUAUUGACGCUGAGGCACGAAAGCGUGGGGAGCGAACAGGAUUAGAUACCCCUGUAGUC